rnacentral:rRNA from 1 species
UACGUAGGGGGGCAAGCGUUGUCCGGAAUUAUUGGGCGUAAAAGAGCUCGUAGGCGGCUUGUCGCGUCGGCUGUGAAAAACCUGGGGGCUCAACCCCCGGGGCCCUGCAGCCGAUACGGGGCAAGCUAGAAUUCGGUAGGGGGAGACUGGAAUUCCUGGUGUAGCGGUGAAAAUGCGCAGAUAUCAGGGAGGGAACACCCGGGUGGGCGAAAGGGCGGGGUCUCUGGGGCCCGAAAAUUGACGCUGGAGGGAGCGAAAAGCGUGGGGAGCGAACAGG